CAUAUGCAUACACCCUUACAAGUACAUAAGUAUUUAUGUACUAUUCGGUAUACCAAAACGUCAGCUUUCUUUUAUAAUUUAUACGAUCGGUAUUUUAGACCUUCGGACAUGCAUAAAUUCGCGUAAGAUACCAGUCUAUGACGUCUCUCAUCGGUGACUUAAUACCAGUUUAAAUUGAUAUGAUAGAACGCGACACAAAAGUAGUAAUACUGUCUUAGAAUCUCAAUACCGUGUAAGAAAAUUCUACAUUGAUCAUUGGUUGUUAAGUCUAACCAUAUAUUCCUCGUCUGUCAAACAAAAAAAUAAAAUAUAAAAAUGAUUAAAAAUGGUGCAUUGAAACUUAAUUAUGUAGGAUCUAGUUCAAUAGUUA